rnacentral:rRNA from 1 species
ACUAGAGUGAUGUAGGGGAGACUGGAAUUCCUGGUGUAGCGGUGAAAUGCGCAGAUAUCAGGAGGAACACCGAUGGCGAAGGCAGGUCUCUGGGCAUUUACUGACGCUGAGGAGCGAAAGCAUGGGGAGCGAACAGGAUUAGAUACCCUGGUAGUCCAUGCCGUAAACGUUGGGCACUAGGUGUGGGGGACAUUCCACGUUUUCCGCGCCGUAGCUAACGCAUUAAGUGCCCCGCCUGGGGAGUACGGCCGCAAGGCUAAAACUCAAAGGAAUUGACGGGGGCCCGCACAAGCGGCGGAGCAUGCGGAUUAAUUCGAUGCAACGCGAAGAACCUUACCAAGGCUUGACAUGUGCCAGACCGCUCCAGAGAUGGGGUUUCCCUUCGGGGCUGGUUCACAGGUGGUGCAUGGUUGUCGUCAGCUCGUGUCGUGAGAUGUUGGGUUAAGUCCCGCAACGAGCGCAACCCUCGUUCCAUGUUGCCAGCACGUAGUGGUGGGGACUCAUGGGAGACUGCCGGGGUCAACUCGGAGGAAGGUGGGGAUGACGUCAAAUCAUCAUGCCCCUUAUGUCUUGGGCUUCACGCAUGCUACAAUGGCCGGUACAAUGGGUUGCGAUACUGUGAGGUGGAGCUAAUCCCUAAAAGCCGGUCUCAGUUCGGAUUGGGGUCUGCAACUCGACCCCAUGAAGUCGGAGUCGCUAGUUUUCGCAGUUCCGCCCGCAGUUUGAUUCCUGGCUCAGGAUGAACGCUGGCGGCGUGCUUAACACAUGCAAGUCGAACGAUGAAGCCCAGCUUGCUGGGUGGAUUAGUGGCGAACGGGUGAGUAACACGUGAGUAACCUGCCCCCGACUCUGGGAUAAGCCCGGGAAACUGGGUCUAAUACCGGAUAUGACCUCGCACCGCAUGGUGCGGGGUGGAAAGAUUUAUCGGUGGGGGAUGGACUCGCGGCCUAUCAGCUUGUUGGUGAGGUAAUGGCUCACCAAGGCGACGACGGGUAGCCGGCCUGAGAGGGUGACCGGCCACACUGGGACUGAGACACGGCCCAGACUCCUACGGGAGGCAGCAGUGGGGAAUAUUGCACAAUGGGCGCAAGCCUGAUGCAGCGACGCCGCGUGAGGGAUGACGGCCUUCGGGUUGUAAACCUCUUUCAGUAGGGAAGAAGCGAAAGUGACGGUACCUGCAGAAGAAGCGCCGGCUAACUACGUGCCAGCAGCCGCGGUAAUACGUAGGGCGCAAGCGUUAUCCGGAUUUAUUGGGCGUAAAGAGCUCGUAGGCGGUUUGUCGCGUCUGCCGUGAAAGUCCGAGGCUCAACCUCGGAUCUGCGGUGGGUACGG